ACAUGAAGUGAAUGAAGGUAGCAUAUGUAUGAAUCAUGGAAAUGAAUGGAGUGAAGUGACCAAAGUCACAGAAUAUACUAUAUGGUGAUAAGUGACUAAAAAGGUAUAGUUUGAAAUCGAAAGGUGAAAGUGUAUUGGAAUUCCUAGGAGAAAUGGAAUUUGUACCAUAGAGGGAAAGGUGGCAUGAACCAUAAGUUAGGGGUCUAAGACAUGGUGUCACUAUAUGGUUGGCCGAAAAGAAAGGAAU
rnacentral:lncRNA from 1 species